rnacentral:misc_RNA from 1 species
GCAAACUUGGUCAUUUAGAGGAAGUAAAAGUCGUAACAAGGUCUCCGUAGGUGAACCUGCGGAGGGAUCAUUAAAGAGUUAGGGCCUCUGGCCCGACCUCCAACCCUUUGUCUCCAAAACCUCGUUGCCUCGGGGGUGGCCCUGCCUCGCGGCGGGUCCCCCGGAGGACCACUACAACUCUGCAUCUGAAUGUCGUCUGAGUGGAUUUUUUUUAAUGAAAUCAAAACUUUCAACAACGGAUCUCUUGGUUCUGGCAUCGAUGAAGAACGCAGC